AUUGAACGCUGGCGGCAGGCUUAACACAUGCAAGUCGAGCGGAGACUUCGGUCUUAGCGGCGAACGGGUGAGGAAUGCCUGGGAAUCUGCCUGGUAGUGGGGGAUAACGUUCCGAAAGGAACGCUAAUACCGCAUACGUCCUACGGGAGAAAGCAGGGGACCUUCGGGCCUUGCGCUAUCAGAUGAGCCCAGGUCGGAUUAGCUAGUAGGUGAGGUAAAGGCUCACCUAGGCGACGAUCCGUAGCUGGUCUGAGAGGAUGAUCAGCCACACUGGAACCUGAGGACACGGUCCAGACUCC
rnacentral:rRNA from 1 species